GACGAACGCUGGCGGCGUGCCUAACACAUGCAAGUCGAACGAGGUCCAAGGAAGCUUGCUUCCUGACGACCUAGUGGCGAACGGGUGAGUAACACGUGAGAAACCUGCCUCGGAGUGGGGAAUAACUCGGGGAAACUAGAGCUAAUACCGCAUAUCUUCACAUGAUCGCAUGGUCGAGUGAAGAAAGAAUUUCGCUCUGAGAGGGUCUCGCGGCCUAUCAGCUUGUUGGUGGGGUAACGGCCCACCAAGGCAACGACGGGUAGCUGGUUUGAGAGAACGAUCAGCCACACUGGGACUGAGACACGGCCCAGACUCCUACGGGAGGCAGCAGUGGGGAAUCUUGCGCAAUGGGCGAAAGCCUGACGCAGCAACGCCGCGUGCGGGAUGACGGCCUUCGUGGUUGUAAACCGCUUUCAGCAGGGACGAAAAUGACGGUACCUGCAGAAGAAGCCCCGGCUAACUACGUGCCAGCCGCCGCAGUAA
rnacentral:rRNA from 1 species